GUAAAAACAAAGGGGUGCCCUCCGGACGGGCUGAGAUCAUACCCUAAGCACCUGAUGCGGUUAGUACCGCCGAAGGGAUUGUUAUUCGUAUCCAU
rfam:Bacteroides coprocola DSM 17136 Scfld_02_44 genomic scaffold, whole genome shotgun sequence.